ACUCAAAUGAAUAGACGGGGGCUCACACAAGCGGUGGAGGAUGUGGCUUAAUUCGAGGCUACGCGAAGAACCUUAUCCUAGUCUUGACAUGCACGGAUUAACUCCUUGAAAGAGGAGCCAGGCCUUCGGGUACAACGUGCACAGGUGCUGCAUGGCUGUCGUCAGCUCGUGUCGUGAGAUGUCGCGUUAAGUCGCUUAACGAGCGAAACCCUUGUCAGUAGUUGCCAACGCGUCAUGGCGGGGACUCUACUGAGACUGCCGGUGUUAAACCGGAGGAAGGCGGGGACGACGUCAAGUCCUCAUGGCCUUUAUGACUAGGGCUGCACACGUCCUACAAUGGCACGCACAAAGGGAAGCAAACUCGCGAGAGCAAGCAAAUCCCAAAAAACGUGCCCCAGUUCGGAUUGCAGGCUGCAACUCGCCUGCAUGAAGCCGGAAUCGCUAGUAAUCGCGGGUCAGCAUACCGCGGUGAAUGUGUUCCUGAGCCUUGCACACACCGCCCGU
rnacentral:rRNA from 1 species